UAGCCUGUUCCUCUCUUUAGCAUUGACUUCCCCUGAUAAAUUUGUGCAUCGUUUUCUGGUCAAGUAAGGUGUUUUAUGGAGAAUAAACUCACAGCCCGAAUAUUAUUGGAGUUUGAACAAUUUGUGAAGACUUCACUUAGGCCUUUAGCCAUUCAACAAAAUGCUUGAAAUUAUUGUAGGAGUCUCCGCCUUCUUUGAUACUGUUCAUCGCCCUUUCCUUGAGAUCCAAAGCAUUUGCUUUAUAAUUCCCUCUGUCCAGUAGCUCCUCCACUUUAUACUGGAUUUCUUGUCUUGUAAUUAUCCCUCUUUCAUCUCGGUUGAACCCCAAUCCUACCCUCCAAAUGUUCCAAAUGAAGUUCUCAUUAUGGAACUGAUCUGCGAAAUAAGGCCAACACAAGAAAGGGAUGCCAUUGCUCACACCUUCCAUAGUGGAGUUCCAUCCACAGUGUUUCAUGAAGCAAGCAAUGGAAGGAUGUUCCAGAACUUUUUGUUGAGGUGCCCAACUAACUAUACGCCCUCGAGUGGCAACUCUGUCGAGAAAUCCCACCGGGAAGGCAUCAUUCAUGUCAAUAGUAAUAUUUGGACGAACAACCCAGAGGAAUGGUCUGUUUGAAAGUUCAAGGCCCUUGGCCAAUUCAUGGAAUUGGGUUUGGUCAAGAAUUGAUGUACUGCCAAAGGCAACGUAUAUCACUGAUUGUGGUCGUUGUUGAUCAAGCCAUUUCAAACAAGUUAAGUCUUCUUGCCAGAAGCUUCCUACUGAGUCUCCAUGCCUGUUGCUUGCCAAAAGUGGACUUAUUGGUGUGAUCUUUGGAUCGAAGAUAAAUGCCGCAGGCUCAAAGUCAUAAGUUGAAUUGCAAAGCACCCAGUCUGUCAAUUUUAUUGAUCUGUCGCUUCUGACCAUAUUUUCGAAAAACAUUAUCUGUAUUUUCUUGUGGCUAAUGCAGGCCCACCCAAGGUAUGCUGUGUUCAUGGCAGGCAUGGUUGGUGACAACUGAAACAUCUGUUUUUUUGUUGGAGCUCCUGCAAAAGAAAAUGCUAAUCAACAUGACACAAGAGAAGGCAGCUCGUCGGAUUUCUUUCUCUGCUGCAAUAUCCAUGGCCCAUCCAAGAUUGUGAUCUGCUAUAACGCAAGUGAUCUUUUCAGUGUCUGACGAAUUAAUUUUUUCAAUGAGCUCCUCAAAUUUCUUUGGCAUAAGCAAUAGGACUGAUUCACCAUGCCUCUCCAGGUUUUUCCUAUCCUCUAGAGGUUCAAGGCCAUCUUGGAUUGAAACAAGAUGAAUUUGAUCCCCUAUUCCAUCCUUCAUUGCCAAUGAAUCCAUUACCUUGCAUGAAUGUACUCUGUGUUUACAAAUGUAAUUCUUAUGCCAUGUUUGACUAAGGAUUGUGAAAGCUCCAUGAAAGGAAUUACAUGACCUUGUGCUGGAUAAGGGAGACUAAAGGUAAGGCCAACUUUGAAGACACCGCCACAUUUUUUUCAUGUUGCUGGACCUUUAUUGAAAGAAAGAUUCUCAUUCUUUGAUGCAGGGCUUUGGAUAAUAGGGCAUAGUGGGGAAAAAAUAUGGCUUUGGAACAACCAGGAGACUGGGGGCACAAACAGCCAAUUUUGAAGACAUCAUCACAUUUUCCUUGAUUUGUGAGACGGACUUCAUGGUGACUUACCCAGUUUGGGCUUAUUGGGUUUCACAGUGACUAUUUCCCUAGGUUUGGUUUUAGACAUUUAUGAUCUGUAAUUCUCUUCCAUUUCUUUUUGAACCUUGCAGCAUAGAGUCUAGACAGUAUGCAAAUUGGAGAAUUCCUCAGUGACACUAUCUCAAGCCUGACGCCGAAAAAGUUGUGGCAGUAAGAGAUGAAAUCUUUUUGUUGGUAAACACAGAUGCAGAAGUUGAUUCAAGUUUGAAAGUUACCUGCAAAUU